UACGAAGGGGGCUAGCGUUGCUCGGAAUCACUGGGCGUAAAGCGCACGUAGGCGGCUUCUUAAGUCAGGGGUGAAAUCCUGGAGCUCAACUCCAGAACUGCCUUUGAUACUGAGGAGCUCGAGUCCGGGAGAGGUGAGUGGAACUCCGAGUGUAGAGGUGAAAUUCGUAGAUAUUCGGAAGAACACCAGUGGCGAAGGCGGCUCACUGGCCCGGUACUGACGCUGAGGUGCGAAAGCCAGGGGAGCAAACGGG
rnacentral:rRNA from 1 species